AAGCCGCAGAAUUCUGUGCUAAGGUAGCAUAAUCAUUUGUCUUCUAAUUAAAGACUAGAAUGAAAGGUCAAACGAAUAAAACCCUUAAACCUCAUAAUACACCAAAAUUACACUUAUUGUAAAAAUACAACAAUAAAUAAAAAAGACGACAAGACCCCGUCGAACUUAACUAAAGUUAUGCUGGGGCAGUAUUAUAAUAAAAAUUUUUAAUCCCAAUAACAACAACAAACCUUUAAAAGAAAAUAAAAGUUACCGCGGGGAUAACAGCGCAAUCUAUUUUAAAAGCUCUUAUAAAAAAAUAAGAUUACGACCUCGAUGUUGAAUUAAUUUACCAAACAAAAGCAAAAUUUUGUAUGAAAGUCUGUUCGACCUUUAAACAAUUACAUGAUCUG
rnacentral:rRNA from 1 species